UACGGAGGGGGCUAGCGUUGCUCGGAAUUACUGGGCGUAAAGCGCACGUAGGCGGCUUUCUAAGUCGGGGGUGAAAUCCUGGAGCUCAACUCCAGAACUGCCUUCGAUACUGGAGAGCUCGAGUCCGGGAGAGGUGAGUGGAACUGAGAGUGUAGAGGUGAAAUUCGUAGAUAUUCGCAAGAACACCAGUGGCGAAGGCGGCUCACUGGCCCGGUACUGACGCUGAGGUGCGAAGGCGUGGGGAGCAAACAGG
rnacentral:rRNA from 1 species